rnacentral:lncRNA from 1 species
GUUGACUCGGUAUAUCUUUUUUACUCCAUGUAAAUUGAUUUUAUUUGGAUUUCUGUUUCUACACAUAUUAUUGAGUUUAAAGGACUUCAUUAGUAUGAUUAGUGUAUUGAAGUUUUUUUUUUUUUUGGUUGCUUUAUUUUACUUUUUGAAUCAAUAUGGUAUAAAAAUAUCAUUAGGAUCUCCUCCUAAAAUUAGUUGACCCGAACUUUUUUCUUCUACUACUUUAUAUACAGUUUUAAAGAUAAUAUUUCUGCUUUUUGGAUUAUUUGGUGCAUAAGUGUUAACUACCAGCAAGAACCUUCCUU